rnacentral:rRNA from 1 species
AGCGAACGCUGGCGGCGUGCCUAACACAUGCAAGUCGAGCGCGGGCAUUUCGGGGGUAACCCGGGAUGUGCUGAGCGGCGGACGAGUGAGUAAUACGUGGACAACCUGCCUUAAAGCUUGGGAUAACUCCGGGAAACUGGAGCUAAUACCGGAUAAGACCACGGUGUCUAUGGAUGCUGAGGUAAAAGGCGGCCAGGAAACUGGCUGUUGCUUAAAGAUGGGUCCACGUCCCAUCAGGUAGUUGGUGAGGUAAAGGCUCACCAAGCCAAAGACGGGUAGCUGGCCUUAGCGGGUGGUCAGCCACACGGGGACUGAGACACGGCCCCGACUCCUACGGGAGGCAGCAGUGGGGAAUAUUGGGCAAUGGGCGAAAGCCUG